CAGCCGCCUGCACAGCAGCCAGAGCCGCCCAGCCCGACCGGCAGCCACUGGACCACCAGGGAGAGAGAGACCUCCCCACCCCCCAGCACUCCCAAAGGUAAGGAGGUUGGGAGGGGGAUUUAAAUUUAAAAAAAAAGUUAAUGUGUGUGUGUGUGUCUGACUGUGUGUGUGUGUUUGUUUGUGUCUGACUGUGUGUGUGUCUGACUGUUUGUGUGUGUUUGUGUUUGACUGUGUGUGUGUCUGACUGUUUGUGUCUGGCUGUGUGUGUGUGUGUGUGUCUGACUGUGUGUGUUUGUGUCUGACUGUGUGUGUGUCUGACUGUGUGUGUGUGUUUGUGAGUGUGUGUGUUUGUGUCUGACUGUUUGUGUAUGUGUGUGUGUGUGUGUGUUUGUGUCUGACUGUGUGUGUGUGACUGUGUAUGUGUUUGUGUCUGACUGUGUGUGUGUGUGACUGUGUGUGUGUUUGUGUCUGACUGUGUUUGUGUCUGUGCAUGUGUCUGACUGUGUGUGUGUGUAUGUGUCUGACUGUGUGUGUGUGUGUUUGUGUCUGACUGUGUGUGUGUGUAUUUAGAAGGUGGGGCGGGG